CCAAUAGCGUAUAUUAAAGUUGUUGCAGUUAAAAAGCUCGUAGUUGAAUUUCGGGAUUGACACAUCGGUCGUGCCCUAAGGGGUAUGAACUGGUGUAGUCAGUUUCUCACCUUCUGGAGAACCGCGAUGUCCUUAAUUGGGUGCCGCGAGGAACCAGGACCUUUACUUUGAAAAAAUUAGAGUGUUUAAAGCAGGCAUUUUGCUUGAAUACAUUAGCAUGGAAUAAUAAAAUAGGACGGAUGGUUCUAUUUUGUUGGUUUCUAGGAUCACCGUAAUGAUUAAUAGGGAUAGUUGGGGGCAUUAGUAUUCAAUUGUCAGAGGUGAAAUUCUUGGAUUUAUUGAAGACUAACUACUGCGAAAGCAUUUGCCAAGGAUGUUUUCAUUAAUCAAGAACGAAAGUUAGGGGAUCGAAGACGAUCAGAUACCGUCGUAGUCUUAACCAUAAACUAUGCCGACUAGGAAUCAGACGAUGUUAAUUUUUUAAUGACUCGUUUGGCACCUUACG
rnacentral:rRNA from 1 species